rnacentral:lncRNA from 1 species
AUAUUGUGCUGGGAAUAGGGUGGCUGCUGGCUAACCUUGUAUUUACCUCUCUGGAAAUACCUACAAAAUCAUUCAGCUAAUCCACUUAAAAAUAAGUAAAUAAGUAACAAAGUAUUUUCUUCUAAAUUGUUUGGAAAAGGCUUCUGGCCAGAUUUAAAAGGCCACUAAGGAACAUUUCUAAGCAGAAAACAAAUAAACAAAAAACCUUUCCCAUUAAGAAGGGGGAGUGCUUUAUUUUGAAACACUGGCAUAAUGUGUUUGACAGUUUUGACUUUUAAGAUGAUACUUCAGGAAAUGGAAUGAAACUUGCAUAGCAUUUUGAUGUCACUCAAUGUGCAGGUUUAGCUGAGAAGCUCUCGCUGGAGAAGCUGCCCAUCUGCUGCCAGCAUGUGGGGCCGUGGCGAAGCUGAGCUACUCUGAUGGCUUUGUCAGCUGUCCAAAUGAAGGGGAGAGAAAUAUCAAGGAAUCCGCUCAUUUGCUUGAACAAACCUCCUUUACAGGAGCAGGCUGCUGGAAGGCAGGUCAAGAGCUGUGGUUUGCAACCAGUUACGCUAAUGAAGACUGUGGCAUGCCCAGCCUCAUCUGGCUUUACACCAGCACCUGCGGAGAAUUUGACCCACGCCACUGAGUGCUUUGCCCAAUUAAAUGGUGCGGCAGUGGGACUAGUGCUUCCCCGUUACCUCCCAGCAGAAAGGCUGCAGAUUGCAGCUGGAUUUCUCGCAGCACCUGAGCACCUGGUGCAUCCUGAGCCACGCAGCUGGGCAGGCUGGCUUAGUGGCCAGCAGCUGGCAGGGAGCAGCUCUCCCUGUCCUGGACUAGAUCCUCAGUGCGCCACCAAAAGAAGAACCUCCGGGAUAGGCUGAACCAAGGAAAUAAUGAAGUGAUGCUGCCAAGUCUGCUUUUGAAGGGCUUCCCCUGGGCUUUGUGGCCAGGAGGUGGCUGCGGCAGCCUUCUUGCUCACUCAGUGUCUGGCUCGCUCCGGCAGCUGUGUGACCCUGCCAUGGCACUGGUGUGGAGCUGGGACAUGGGGACCCUCUCCUGCUGCUCAUACCACCAGAGCAGCAGAGCACUUUCCCUGCAGGAUGCCUUUGUGCUGGCCAUGCCAUUCCUCUACAGAGGUGAAGCAGAGCAAGCCGGAGCAGGUCCAGGAGCCUUCAGACCUCCCCUCGCAGGCAGCCCUGGUGCAACAUUUCCCCAAACUGCCCAGGUGUCCGUACGUGAAGCAAACCACAGCCUGGGAAUUUGGAUCUUAAAUAUUGUCAUGGCUGUGAAACACUGGCUGUGGGGUGUCCUGCAGGGGAAUGCGUGUGCCAGGGUGUGGAUGGGUAAGUGGCAGCAUCUGGCAUCCUACAUCAGUGAUGUCUUAUCUGUUCAUCAUCCCAGCAGCGCCCUGAUGCUGAGACCUGUCAGACCUUGCUCAUCCUAA